rnacentral:snRNA from 1 species
AGCUUUCCACAGUGGCAAUGUCGUAACUGAUAAGGCUUGAUUAUUGUUAACUGAAAACUUUUCCCAGUACCCUGUCAUGACGACUGGCACUGGUAAUUUUUGACAGUCUCCAUGGAAA